UUCCCGAUGUUGAGGGAAUCCAGAAUCAGAGGGUCACAAUUUAGGAAUAAGGGGUAAGCCAUUUAUAACGAAGAUGCGG